UGCCAGCAGCCGCGGUAACACGUAGGGGGCGAGCGUUGUCCGGAAUUAUUGGGCGUAAAGAGCUCGUAGGCGGUUCGGUAAGUCAGGUGUGAGAACUCAAGGCUCAACCUUGAGACGCCACCUGAUACUGCCGUGACUUGAGUCCGGUAGAGGAGCGUGGAAUUCCUGGUGUAGCGGUGAAAUGCGUAGAUAUUUGGAGGAACACCAGUGGCGAAGGCGGCUCACUGGCUCGAUACUGACGCUGAGGUGCGAAAGUGUGGGGAGCAAACAGGAUUAGAUA
rnacentral:rRNA from 1 species